rnacentral:rRNA from 1 species
CGUGCCAGCAGCCGCGGUAAUACGGAGGGUGCAAGCGUGUUUCGGAAUUACUGGGCGUAAAGGGCGAGUAGGCGGCUUGUUAAGUCAGAUGUGAAAUCCUAUGGCUCAACCAUAGAACUGCAUUUGAAACUGGCAGGCUUGAGUACGGUAGAGGGUGGUAGAAUUCCUAGUGUAGAGGUGAAAUUCGUAGAGAUUAGGAGGAAUACCAGUGGCGAAGGCGGCCACCUGGGCCGAUACUGACGCUGAUACGCGAAAGCGUGGGGAUCAAACAGGAUUAGAUACCCUGGUAGUCCACGCCGUAGACGAUGGGUACUAGGUGCUGGAGGUAUUAACCCCUUCGGUGCCGUAGUUAACGCAGUAAGUACCCCGCCUGGGGAGUACGGUCGCAAGAUUAAAACUCAAAGAAAUUGACGGGGACCCGCACAAGCGGUGGAGCAUGUGGUUUAAUUCGAGGCAACGCGAAGAACCUUACCUGGUCUUGACAUCCCCUGACAUCCCUAGAGAUAGGGUUUCCUCUUCGGAGGCAGGGAGACAGGUGCUGCAUGGCUGUCGUCAGCUCGUGUCGUGAGAUGUUGGGUUAAGUCCCGCAACGAGCGCAACCCUCGCCUUUAGUUGCCAGCAUUAAGUUGGGCACUCUAAAGGGACUGUCGGUGUUAAGCCGGAGGAAGGUGGGGAUGACGUCAAGUCCUCAUGGCCUUUAUGACCAGGGCUACACACGUGCUACAAUGGUCGGUACAAAGAGUUGCGAACUCGUGAGAGUAAGCUAAUCUCAAAAAACCGGUCGUAGNUUCGGAUUGAAGUCUGCAAUUCGACUUCAUGAAGCUGGAAUCGCUAGUA